rnacentral:rRNA from 1 species
UACGGGGGGAGCAAGCGUUGUUCGGAUUUACUGGGCGUAAAGGGCGCGUAGGCGGCCUCUGCAAGUCGACUGUGAAAUCUCCGGGCUUAACCCGGAAAGGUCAGCCGAUACUGCAGGGCUAGAGUGCAGAAGGGGCAACUGGAAUUCUCGGUGUAGCGGUGAAAUGCGUAGAUAUCUGAAGGAACAUCAGUGGCGAAAGCGACUUCCUGGACCAAUACUGACGCUCAUGUGCGAAAGCGUGGGGAGCAAACAGG